AUUUCUCUUUUGCUGUAGCUGCUCUUCUGCGCUCGGUGUCUCGACUCUCUUCUUCCGGAGCAUUUCUUAUCGGUGCUGCGAGGAAAACGCCAUCGUCGGCCCUCAAGCAUCGGUUUUUGUUGUUGUGCUUCGAUCAUCGCUUCACAUGUUGCAUCUAGCUUUGGUUUUCAGCUCUCGGUUCGAAUCCGACUGUUUUUGAGCUUAUUCCGAUCGAUUGAAUUGAUGUAUGUUGCGGCUUGAAGCUGCGAUAACUGGUCAACAUGGGGUUUGAUAACGAGUGCAUCUUGAACAUCCAGUCCCUUGCCGGAGAGUAUUUCUGUCCUGUAUGCCGCUUGCUUGUUUACCCAAAUGAAGCUAUACAAUCACAGUGCACUCACUUGUACUGCAAACCUUGUUUAACAUAUAUUGUGAGCACCACACGGGCUUGUCCCUAUGAUGGCUACUUAGUGACGGAGGCAGAUUCCAAGCCGCUUGUAGAGUCAAAUAAGGCACUGGCUGAAACAAUAGGCAAAGUAGCUGUUCAUUGUCUAUAUCACAGGAGCGGAUGCACUUGGCAGGGUCCAUUAUCGGAUUGCACUUCCCAUUGUUCCAGUUGUGCUUUUGGCAAUUCCCCUGUUGUGUGCAAUAGGUGUGGAAUCCAAAUAGUACAUCGUCAAGUACAGGAACAUGCACAAAAUUGUCCUGGUGUACAGCCUCAAGCGCCACAGGCAGAAGCUGGUCAGGAUGCUUCAGCCUCAGGUACAGCAGUUGCUGUUGAUCAGAGCCAGACUGUUACUCAAGCAGGAGCAGCAACUUCUCAGGCCCAGAUAUCUCAAGCUGCGGCCGUUACAUCAGUGCAGGAUAAUAAUUCACAGGUCAAUUCCAAUCCUCAGGUCCAAGCAGUUGCUCAGCCUGCUGUGCUAACUCAAGAACAGUGGUAUCAGCAGCAACAACAGUAUCAGCAGUACUACCAGCAAUAUCCUGGGUAUGAUCCUUAUCAGCAGCAUUAUCAGCAAUAUUACCCAUAUCAACAACAGGCUGUUCAGCAGUACCAACAGCAGCAUUUGCAGGGUCAACCCCAACUUGUUCCUGGACAACCUCCCCCCCAGGUUUAUGCCCAACCUCAAGCCCAGCCUCAGCCCCCAGCUCAUUCCCAGACCCAACCACAAAUCCAAAUCCAACCUCCAUCUCAGCCUCAGCCUCAGCCACAGCCUCAACCGCAUCCACAUGUCCAGGCCCCUGUGGUUGCUCAAAACCAAACCCAGACACCAGUUAAUCCACAACAGCAGCUUCAUCCUGUGGUGCAGCCACAUUCUCAAAUUCCGUCGCAGAUUCUUCCACCACCACAUGGUCAGCCUCAGCCUCAGCCUCAGCCUCAGCCAUAUUCUCAAGCUCAGACCUAUGCACAGCCCCAUCCUGUCCAGCCUUAUGCUGCUCAGCAUCCUCAAAUGCCUCAAUACCAGCAACCACAUCCUCAGAUGCAGCAUCCUCAGUCUCAACUACAGCCUCAACCGCAUUCUCAGCACCCUCAGCACCAUCCUCCUCCCCAACCUCAAUCUCAACCUCAUCCACAAGUUGCCCCACAAGCACAGGUUCAACAUCAUGCCCAGCUCCAUAACCAACCCCGCCCUGCUCAGCCCACCCCAACCCCCAAUCCUACUGCUCAUCCUCAGAUACAGCAUACCUCAGCCCUUGCAGUGACAGGCCACCACUCUUACCCACAACCUCAGCCUUACCAGCAAAUGCAAUCGGGAGCUCUACAACAGCAUUCCAUUCAUAUGCACUCCCAGAGUGGGUCCCACCAACAGCCUCAACAUCCAGGUCAAAUGCAGGGUCAAUUCCCGCCACAGCCUCCUCAAAUGCGCCCCCCACAAUCCCAUGUUCCUAUGCCAAACCAGCAACAGCCAGCUUUGUUACCUUCUCCUGGUCCCGUCCCAAACAUGCCUCCUGCACAACCUCAGCCUGCUUACCCUCAUGGUCUGCAACCUGGUCAUCCAGCCCAACAGCGUCCUGUUAUGCAGUCGAUGCAGCAGCAGCCAUUGCCUCCGCAGUUUGUCCAGCAACAACAGCAAGCUUUUCCAGGACAACCAUUGGGUUUGGCGCUGAAUCAAUUACACCAGCAAGCUCCUUUUGUGCAGCAGCAGCAGCCUAUACAGUCUCCAAUACGACCCCAGGGGCCGCCUCAAUCACUGCAGCAGCUUCCUGGGUAUCCGCAGUCACAGCAGAGUGCUGCAUUAUCACAUGGCCUACAGUCUCAACAGCCUCUAAAUCACAUUGGGAGGCCUAUGAUACCAAAUCAGGGCUUACCGUCACAGCCAUAUCCACAAUCUCAUGGUGGAGUUACUGGUGCAGCUCAUGUGAGGCCACUGCUACCUAGUUCAGGCCAACUACCUGCUACUCAGAAUUACCCUCCCAGGGCUAACAGUCAAUUGCAGUCGUCUUCAGAACAACAGCUCGGUUACAUUCAACAGUCUGCUCAUUCACAAUCUGCAGCAACUUCAAAAACAACUGUGUUUGAGAAACAAGGUGAUAACAUUUCUGAGAAAAAUGUGGCAGAGCGAGAUGCUGACUCAGCCUCUCAGAAAACUGACAGGAAGGAUGGAAGUGGUUUAGUUGUGACAUCUGAUCCUGGGGCCGAUUCAGUUGAUUUGAAAAGCCUUAAGUCUGAAUCUGAUAUUAAAUCUGUUGGUGAUGAGAAGAAACAGGAGAUUCAAAAUGAUAAGUCUCCAAGUAUUGUAGAAUCUAUGCAUGCUCAGACUGCAGAACCUGAGACACAUGCAACUGAAUAUGGUUUGGAUCCUGUAGUCAAGCAGAUGGUGAAGAGAGAGAGUGCAAAUAAUACAUUGGAAACUUCAGCCACCGGCAAAUCAGUUGAAAGUGUAGUUGAACAGAAAGUUGUUUCUGAUGUAGAACCUAAACAAGGAGGGCAUUCUUUUGAAGGCAAGGAAAUUCAGGAGGGCUCUCUUUCAAAAAGUCCUCUAGGUAAACAACUGGAAUUUGUGGAAGAUAAGAGAGGGAAGUUGCAAAAUGAUGCAGUGGAUUCUCUCACAAGGGCCGAUAAGGGUUUGCAAUUUGUUCCUCCAGCAUCAGCACCUAUUUCUAGUAAUUCUGUGCAGAUUGCCCAAUCCAAAGGACAAAUUCCUGGGAGUGAAGGGGGCAGUUUACAGACUCCUCCUUUUAGUAGAGAUACUCUACAUCAUCAGGAAAGGAAUAUGCCUCAAGGUCCCGGUGUUGACGAGUACAGAGGCUUUCCUCCACCUGGUCAGGCACAAGGCAAGGGUUUUGCGCACCCUUCUCAUUCUGUUCCGCAUACUGAUCCAGGAAGGCAUCAGCUGCCACCAAUGCCUUAUGGGCCUUCUCAUCAGCAGAGGCCAGAUGCAUCCUUAAUGUUGCCAGUGCCUCCCCAGGGACCCCUACAUCAAGCUCAGGUUCCUUUGCAGCCUCCCAUGCAGCUAAGGCCUCAUGGCCCAGGGCCUUUAUCCCAACCAGGACAGCCUUUCCCUCCACCUGAACAUUUGCAGCCCCCUCUGUUGAACCAACCUCAUGGUCCUUUUCGUCCUGAAAUCCCUCCUGGUGGUGGUUUCCCUAGUGGGGGCCCUGCACUACCACUUGGUAGGGGACCAGGUCAUAUGGGUCCUAACCAGAGAAACUUUGAACCACGGUCUAUUACUCCUCAAGGGCCUUACAAUCAAGGUCAUAUGCCCCCUCCCCAUGCUGGGGCGCCUAGGACAUCUCAAGGUGAGCUUGUGGGAGGUCCACCAUUUGGGGGACCACCACCUCGCGGCUCAUUUGAUUCCCCUGGUGUGAUGAUGGCGAGACCACCUCAGCAUGGUCCUGAUGCUCAUGCGGGGCUGCAGCGUCCUACAAACCCAAUGGAAGCAGAAAUGUUUCCAAAUCAGAGGCCUGGUUACUUUGACAGCAGACAUUCUGAUUCACACCUUCCUGGGUCUUUGGAAAGGGGUCCAAUUGGGCUUAGUAAAAUGAAUGGACCUUCCGGCCCCGACUCCUCAUCUGCACUUGGGUUAAGGAAUGGGAGAUUCAAGCCUCUGCCAGAGGACCAUGUGAAUUCCUUCCCAAUGGAACCUAAUCGCCGUGUCAGUGAUAGAGUGGAGUAUGAAGAUGACCUUCGGCAAUUUCCUAGGCCAUCUAAUUUGGAUAUGGAGCCUGGUCUAAAAAGUACUGGUAACAUUUCCUCAUUGAGGCCUGUUGACAGGGGUCCACAUGGGUUGGGCAUGGAUGCUGCACUCAGGCCUCUUGAGAAGGCACCCCAUGGAUUCAAUUAUGAUGGUGUAGUGAAAUUAGAUUCUAAUGCAAGCACUGGCCCUCCCAGAUUCCAUCCUCCUUUCCAUCCUAGUGGUACGUUGCAUCCCAAUGAUGCUGGGGAAAGAUCUCGUCCUCUUGAUAUUGGUGGGAGAGUAGAUCAUCCUUACUCUCGUCCUGAUUUUCUUGAACAAGUUCCUGGAUUUGGUAGGCAUCAUGUGGAUGGGAGAAGCCCUGCUAGAGAAUACCCUGGUGCUCCCUCACGUGGAUUUGGAGGGCUCACUGGUGCUGUUGGCAAUCGUUCUGGAACAGAUGAUGUUGAUGGCCGGGAAUCUGGUCGAUUUGGGGAAGGAUCCAAACCUUUCAACCUAUCAUUAGAUCCAAUAGGCAAUACAUUUAACGAAAGUAGGUAUGCAGGUUUGCCCAGCCGUAUGCGCAGAAGUGAUUUGGAUGGCCCUGGGAAUUUGCGUACGGGUGAGCAUUUCCCACCUGGUCCUCACAGCCACUUGAGGAAUAGUGACUCCCUUGGCCAAGAUAGUUUGCCCAGUCAUUUACGGAGGGGUGAACAUUUUGGUCCCCGUAACUUGCCCAGUCAUUUGCGUUUGGGAGAACCAGCUGGCUUCGGGGCCUUUCCUGGUCAUGCACAGGUAGAUCUCCCUGGGAUUGGUAACUUUCCUCAGAAUGUGCCUUUUGGUGAAUCAUUUAGAGGGGGCAACAAGCCAAAUCAUCCUCGUCUUGGUGAGCCUGGAUUUAGGAGCAGCUAUUCCCUCCAGGGAUUCUCAAAUGACAGUGGAUUUUUCAAAGGUGACAUGGAGCCUUUUGACAACUCAAGGAAGAGGAAGUCAUCAAGCAUGGGAUGGUGCCGUAUUUGCAAAGUUGAUUGUGAAACAGUUGAGGGUCUGGACCUGCAUUCUCAAACUAGGGAGCACCAAAAGAUGGCUAUGGACAUGGUCCUAAGCAUCAAGCAACAGAAUGCAAAGAAACAUAAAACUUCCAAUGACCAUUCCUCACUUGAAGAGGCAAGCAAGUCUAGGAAUGCCAGUUUGGAUGGUCGUAGCAACAAGCAUUGAGUUAUGGCGGUGUACUACAGUGUUGACUGAAGUGAUUUUGUUGCUGCCUUGGGAUCAGAUUUUCCUUCGGUAUUGUUGCAUUUAGUGAUAUAUAGGCGAUUCACCCUUAUGUCUCUUUUCUGCUUGCGGGAUGUUUUAUGUUACCUUUGUCCUUUCAGGUUGCUGCCAUGUUAAGGGAGAUGGUUUUUGGAACUGAACUUUCAGUGGCAGAAGUGGCAUUCUUUUUGGCAGAGGAUGAGUGCAAAAGUUGUCUAAUAUACACGUGGGAUCUUUGAACACAAAAGUGUGAACCAAAGUUGCCUAGAACGUGGAAUGUCCUGGUUUGUGGAAUAGGAACGGGAUUGCAGUAUGGCACAUGAUGUGGAAUGUUAGAGGUAUAUUUAAUUUGAUAUAUUAGUGAAGUGUAAUGGCACUUGUAUAUUUUGGAGAUGUUGAGCUAUUUCUAAAUCUAGAAAAGAGUUUAUUUUGUGGAAUAGAUUGACGACAGAAAUAGAGUUAAAAUGUGAUGAUUCCUCACUUUUACCUAAUAAAAUUUUUUUGUGAAAGAUAUUCAACUAAAUUUUUGGAUAGUUAGAUUUAGGAUUUCAGAAUGAAAAUGUACCAUAUUUUGGAAUGUCUGUACCUUAUGUGGUUUGCUAGGGUUUCAGCAUUUUCUGGUAACUAUGCUGUGAACAAAUUUAUACCAUUUGAGAUAAGUGACUGUGAACUGUGUUUUAGCUUGGUUUCAGUUUACAAAAGCUCCCAAUUUGGAGUUUGUGUUUAACAGACAUUAAAUAUCAUCUUAAAUAACAAGAUCUUUGAACGAGAGUUUGAACAAGUUUGCACUUGUAAAGGUGGUUGACAUUGAACUAGGUUUGUUUCAGUUGACAGGUGCCCCCUGUUGGAAAUUUAAUUGUUUUUGUGUGGAAAAUUACAUCUCAACUUGGAUCAGCCCAUCAACACAUAACAUGGCUUUAUUUUUAUAAUUACCUAAUUGUAAAAACGGAAAUGUUUUCUGUGGGACAAAGGAGGUUCAGAACUGCAAUUCUAUCCUGCUAGUUCUGUGUGACUGUUAGAUUCAUCUUUUUGAUGGUGAACUUUUGCCCCGUUAGAUAUCCAAUAAUAUCAACUGCAGGAAUCUCAGAAAUAUGGCAAUAGGCUGACAUCCUCUAGUCAUCAGGAUUGUGGAGGAAAAAGUAGGGCUGUUUUCAAGGUGAUCCGCUUGUCUUCUAAUAUACUUUUUCCACUGUUUAGGAUAAAACCAAGUACUUAUGACUCUCUGCCUCUGCGUGUGGUUUUUCUAUGUUAAUGGGGAUUAAUUUUUUUCCAGUGUUGUAUUUUUUCUUAGUUUUAAAUACUGUUAUUUAGAUAUAACGUUCUUCCUCAUGUAUUGCUACUAUGUUACAUUGUGCACAUCCCAGGCUUGGAUGAUGGAAGAUAUUUUGUCUUGGAAUGUUUUCUUUUCUAGGGCAUUGACAUAGGCAAUUGUAAAAGACAAGAUAAAAUUAAGCACAUAUGCUUAGGAGUGCACUAUUCUUUCGGGAAAUUCAGGGAUAUUUCUGGCUUGUACUCAAAACUAUAGCCUUUCUUUUUAUUGUGUUGAAAACUUUGUGUGAAAUUCAAUUUUUUGUGGAUAACUAACUUUGUUUUUAAAGUGGCAUGAUGAAUUCUUAGAUACUAAACUCUCCCAGUAAAAAGUGAACUCUCCCAAUAAAAAAAAUUACUAGGUGGAUGCAAGAAUGGCUGAAGUGGAAACUAGAAUGUUUAGUUUAGGUGGUAUAUUCAUAGGAUUUAAGAGUCAAUUGCAUAGAGAUUUGAUUAUUCUAAUGGCAUAUGAGUAGGAAAUCAUAUUAUGCCUUGCGGUACACAUCUUCAUCCUGGUAAUAGUGUGUUGCCCUAUAUCAUCUUUUCACUUGGCAUUUGGUUUUUGUGGAAUUAGGGUUGGAAGUAAGUUUGGAAUUCAGGCCCCAAGUUCCAAUUCUCAUUCCAUUGAUUGAUUUUUGUAAAUGUUGGUGUAGUUGUGUUUGUUAUGGAAUGAUGAUUCUCCCGUUUAGCGCUUUUUGAUUCUACUUCUGAAGUAUGGGGGAUCGCUAUGUUGGGUCUCGCCUCAUUUAUGAAUAAAGGAGGCAAGAAUACUUGUUGCAGUUGGGCAUGCCAAUGUCAAAAUUGGCUUGCUGCAAUUCAAUGGCCUCUUUGUGGAGAAAUGGUAUCCAAAACCUGAUGAUGAAGAUGAAAAGGAAGAUGACCGCAUUUUGUCAAAAGUGGUUGUAUGGUGCAGCAACUCCACCAACCUUUUGAUAAGGAAAAAGAUGCUGAUUUUUAGAUGGAAUCUCCUAUAAAAGUGGUACUUCCCCUCUGUUGUGGUGUACACAAAAAAAAAAAAAAAAAAAAAUAGAGUGAAGAUAUAUUUGUUAGUACACUGUGAGUGUGUAUUAAGGUGAGUGAGUUGAGUUAAUUGUAAUUCGCCUCCUUCACUGUAUACCCAUAUUUAUAUAUAUAGUUAAAUUACUCCUCUCGUAGACGUAGUCAAAAUUGGCCGAACCACGUAAAUAUUGUGUUAUUUGUGUGUAGGGCAUUUGAUCUUGGGUGGGAUUUAUAUCCUAACAAUUGGUAUCAGAGCUACUAGUUUAUCGUCUCUUUGGCUGGUUUUACUUUUUUUUUUAUAUUAAUAUCGCCUUGACGGCAAGUUUUAUUUCUGUGUAUCAAUGCCGCCUUAAUGACAGGUUUUAUUGAUGUGUAUUGAUACCGCCUUCAUGGCUGGAUUUAUUCUUAACCUUUGAGAUUAUACUGCAGCAACAUUGUUCAUUGUAGUUGUUCAUGUACAGUACUAGAACAUAUUAAAUGGAGGAAAGUUCAAGUCUUGGGAGCAGUUCCAUGAUCAGACUUACAGAGAUAAAUUAUUCCAUCUGAAAGACAAUGAUGGAAGAUUUGUUGUACUGUAAAAAUCUGUUCGAUCUCAUUGAAUGCAAAUGGAUCAUGCUAAUUGGAAAAACUGAGUCUAAUUGGAAGAAGCUCAACAGAAAAGCUGUAAGUGUUAUAAGACAAUGGGUUGAGACGAGGGCAAUUCGUGAUACAGCCAAAGAAACGAAUGCCUACAAACUUUGGCAACAUCUGGGAGAGAUGUACGAGCCAAAGAAUGCCCAGUACAAAGCCUUCAUGAUAAGAAGAUUUGUGAAUUUAAAAUUAUAUGAUGGACAAAAUGUUUCAGAUCACUUAGAUAAAUUUAAUGAAAUUUUUGAUAAUAUGGCAAGUAUGGAAUUAACUAUUGCGGAUGAAUUUCAAGCAUUGAUUUUCCUAAGUUCAUUACCAGAUAACUGGGAGUCACUGGUGGUAGCUCUCAGUAAUUCAACACCAAAUGGAAAGGUAUCCUUGGGCAUGGUGAAGGAUAGCAUCACAAGAGAAGGCAAGAGAAGAGCUGAGCAAGGCUUGCCCACUCACUCUCAAGGACAAGUGAUGGUUAUUGAAAGGGGUAGAAGCAGAUAUUCUCAAGGAGACAAGAAGAACUGAGGCAGGUCCAAAAGCAGAUCAAAGUCAAGGGGUAACUUCACUUGUUAUUAUUGUAACAAGUUUGGACAUGUAAAGAAGGACCGUUUGAAAUGGAAGGCAAAACAAACCAGCGAAGACAAGAAAGAGGACGACAAAAGUAGUGCAGCUGUGACUUAAGGUGAAACUUACGUGAUGUGCGGGGAAGGACGCGUUAACCUCACUUGCCAAGACACAACAUGGACGAUUGACUCUGCAACAUCAUUCCAUGUAACAGCACGGAGAGACUUCUUCUCAUCUUACAAAUGCGGUGAUUAUGGAUUUGUUAAGAUGGGAAAUGAAGUCAAAUGCAAAAUUGCUAGUAAAGGAGAUGUGUUGAUAGAAACAAAUGUUGGCUGCAAGCUACUAUUGAAGGAUGUUCGGCAUGUACUUGACGUUCGCCUUAAUUUGAUCUCCACAGGUCAACUUGAUGACAUUGGUUGUGAAAGUUAUUUCGGUAAUGGAGUCUGGAAGCUUAAGAAAGGGAAUUUGGUGGUGGCCAAAGGAAAGAAGGAUGCUAGCUUAUAUUACACUCAAGCUAAGCAACUCUGUGUAGGUGAUAUGAAUGCUAUAGAACAUGAAGUCACCACUGAGUUAUGACAUAGCAGACUUGGCCACAUGAGCGAGAAGGGAUUCUAGAUUCUUGCAAGGAAAAAGCUUCUUCCAAAUUUCUCAGGUAAUUCUUUAAAGAAUUGUACUCAUUGUUUAGCUGGUAAACAACAUAUAGUUGCAUUUCGAAAGAACCCCCCAUUUAGGAGAAAGAAUAUUCUAUAUCUGGUUCCUACUGAUGUGUGUUUUAUGAAUGAUAAAAGUAUUGGUGGAUCAUUGUAUUUUGUUACAUUCAUUGAUGAUCACUCUAGGAAGGUAUGCUUAUCCUUUAAAAAGUAAAGACCAGGUGUUAGAUAUGUUCAAGAAAUUUCAGGUCAAUGUUGAAAGACAAAGUGGAAGAAAGCUCAAAUGUGUUCGUUUAGACAACGGUGGUGAAUACAUUGGGCCAUUUGAAGAGCAUUGCAGAGUCCAUAGUAUCAGGCUUGAGAAGUCCGUUCCCAAGACGACUCAACACAACGGUGUUGCAGAAAGAAUGAACAGAACUAUCUGCAACAAGAUUAUCUGCAUGCUCUCUCAUUCAAGGCUGCCAAAAUCCUUCUGGGGCGAGGCGUUAAUUACAACAGUUAAUCUUAUCAACAUUUCUCCUUCAGUUCCUUUAGGAGAUGACAUUCUUGAAAGGAUCUAGAUUGGGAAAGAUGUAUCCUAUAAACACUUAAAGGUGUUUGGUUGUACAACUUUUGUCCAUAUUCCUCGAGAUGAAAGGACCAAACUUGAUGCAAAGACAAAAGAGUGCAUCUUCAUCGGUUAUGGUAUUGAUGAGUUCGACUGCAGACUAUGCGAUCCAAAGAAUAGGAAAGUCAUCCGAAGUAGAGAUGUGGUGUUCUUUGAAGACCAAACUAUUGACGAUUAUGAGAAGGCCGAUAAUCCAAAACAUGUCCUUGGGAAUCCAAUCAAGUUGAUCCAAAUUCACCGCCAUAGCCACAAAAAGAGCAUGACAAUAACGGGGAAGUUGAUGAACCAAUAACUGAAGGUGAUCAAGAAGCUCCAGUAGCAGAGCCCCAAAUAAGAAGAUCUGCCAGGUAGCGUCAACCUUCUAGUGGAUACUCAACAAAUGAGUAUGUAUUGCUAACUGACGGGGGAGAACCAGAAUGUUAUGAGGAUGCCAUGUCACAUGAGCACCAGACUGAGUGGUUGAAGGCCAUGCAAGAAGAGAUGAAAUCCUUGCAUGAGAACCACUCUUAUGAUUUGGUAAAACUACCAAAGGGAAUGAAAGCACUUAAUAACAAAUGGGCGUUUAAAUUGAAAAAUGAAGAAGGAAACUCACAACCAAGGUACAAGGUGUGACUAGUUGUGAAGGGCUUCGAUCAAAGAAAAGGCAUCAACUUUGAAGAAAUUUUCUCGCCUGUGGUAAAGAUGUCAUCUAUUCCAGCUGUUCUCGGAUUGGCUGCCAGUAUGAACUUGGAGAUUGAGCAGCUUGAUGUAAAAACUGCAUUUCUCCAUGGUGAUUUGAAAGAAGAAAUCUACGUGAAACAACUUGAAGGAUUCGACGUCAAAGGAAAAGAAUAGUUGGUGUGCAAAUUGAGAAAGAGUUUGUAUGGUCUCAAGCAGGCACCAAGACCGUGGUACAAGAAGUUUGAUUCCUUUUUUAUGGAGCACAGGUAUAGCAAGUUCACAUCUGAUCCCUCUGUUUUUAUUAAGAGAUUUUCUAACAAUGAUUUCAUUAUUCUUAUGCUUUAUGUGGAUGAUAUGUUGAUUGUUGGUUGUGAUACUAAGAAGAUAGAAAAAUUGAAGAAAGAACUAAGCAAAUCCUUUGCAAUGAAGGAUUUGGGUUCAACAAAACAGAUUCUCGGAAUGACGAUCUUUCGACAAAGAAAAAAUAAAAAGUUAUGGUUAUCUCAAAAACGGUAUAUUGAGAACGUGCUAGAAAGAUUUAACAUGAGCAAAGCAAAUCCAGUCAGUUGCUCACUUGCAGGACGCUUCAAGUUUACUUUCAAGCAAUAUCCUACAAGUGAAAAUGACAAAAAAUAAAUGAAGAAAGUGUCUUACUCUUUAGUUGUGGGUAGCUUAAUGUACACCAUGAUAUUGCUCAUGCAGUUGGAGUAGUCAGUUGAUUCCUUUCUAAUCCUAGCAAAGAACAUUGGGAAGCGGUCAAAUGGAUUCUUAGGUAUCUUAGAGGUACUUCUCAUUUAUGUUUAUGUUUUGGUCAUGACAAACCUAUGUUUGAAGGUUAUAUAGAUGCAGACAUGGCCAAUGACGUUGAAUCCAGAAAGUCUGUUUCGGGAGACCUGAUGACAUUUUCAGGGGGAGCAAUGUCGUGGCAAUCAAAGCUACAAAAAUGUGUUGCAUUGUCCACUAUUGAGGCAGAGUACAUUGCCAUCACUGAAGCAGGCAAAGAGCUUCUAUGGAUGAAAAAGAUCUAGAGGAAGUUGGCCUCAAGCAAGAGAAGUAUGUUCUCUAUUGUGACAGUCAAAGUGCUAUUCAUCUCAGCAAGAAUCCAAGUUUUCAUUCAAAGUCAAAGCAUGUUGAUGUUCGAUACAACUGGAUUUGUGAAGUGUUGGAAUCAAAGUAGAUAAGUAUAGAGAAGAUACUAAUGACAAUGCAUCAGACAUGAUGACUAAGACAACGUCCAAGUUAAAGCUCAAAGCUUGUGGAAUCGCAACAGGUUUGGUGGAACUCUUCGCAUGAGUCGGGCGAGGAAGAUUUUUUGGGGCUCGCCUUAUUUAUUAAUAAAGGAGGCAAGAAUACUUGUUGCAGCUGGGCAUGCCAAUGUCAAAAUUGUCUGGCUGCAAUUCGGUGGCCUCUUUGUGGAGAAAGGGUAUCCAAACUUGAUGAUGAAGAUGAAAGGGAAGUUGAUUGCAAUUUGUCAAAAGUGGUUGUUGUUUGGUGCAGCAACUCCCACCAACCUUUUGACAAGUAAAAAAUGCUGAUUUUUGGAGGGAAUCUCCUCCUAUAAAAAGGGUACUUACCUUAUGUUGUGAUGUACUUUAAAAAAACACAAAUUGAGAGUGAGAGUGAAGAUAUAAUUAUUAGUACACAGGAGUGUGUAUUAAGGUGAGUGAGUUGAGUGAAUUGUAAUCCUCCUCCUCAUUCACUGUAUACCCAUAUAUAUAUAUAUAGUGAAGUUACUUCUCUCAUGUGGACGUAGGCAAAAUUGGCAGAACCACGUAAAUAUUGUGUGUUAUUUUUUGUGUGGGGUAUUUGAUCUUGGGUGGGAUUUAUAUCCCAACACGCCAUUCCUUUCCUGCCUAUUUUGUUUGAAGAGCUUUAGACCUUCAAUGGUUACGCCCUUAAAACCUACUAGAUAAGCUCCCUCUUUUUAUGAUCUCUUUAAAUGCAUGCCCCCUAUGGUUCAACUUCUUCACUCUCUCAUCCACUAUUAUUCUAGUAACCGCCUUUAAUGGUCUCUUUAAAUGCAUGCCCUAUGGUUCAGCUUCUUCACUCAUCCACUAUUAUUCUAGUUACCACCUUCUAAGCAGUUGUUAAUCUAUUGAGAUUUUGUGGUCUUGCAUGCUACUGUUCAUCAACUUAAGAAUGCGCAAGAGCCUCUAAUGCGUUAGAUUGUUUUAUGCUUGGAUUGUUGAAGUUUUGAGAUAGAUUAUGAGUUGAGCCAAAAGAUUUUAGGUUAAUGUGAUAUUUUUAGUUAUCCUGUUCUGAUAUUAGAGUCUUGUAAUUUUUUGCCCCUUUUCUUGGUGGCAAAUGUAUCACUGUGUCUUAUUAUUAUUACAAACUAAGUUUCUAAUUUUUCUGGUGGAUGUUCAAUCUUAAUAGAUGCUGCGGGAAAAUUUUUUAUAUGAGAUUAAUUUUUGGAAUUAAACACAAAUCAUGAACUACGAAUUUGUUCCAUUUUUGCCACCAGUCAAUGAUAUCAAACGUUGGGAAUGAGUACUGCAAUUUCUAUGUGAGUAUCCAAAUGCAAUCUCUUUUUGAAGCUGAUUCUAUCCUUGCCUUAGAUCCCAUUGGUUUGUCCGAUUUACAAAUUUAUUUUAUUGGUGUAAAAACUCUGGUUGUUUUUGUGGGUUGCGGACUUCUAUAUAUUAAUUGGGAAACUAAUGUUUCUUUCAAAUGUUAAUGUAGACUGUAGAGGGAAUUUUCAAUGUGAUACAUUUUUCUGUUAGCUUUUUGUCUCCUGUUUCCUUCGGUAAUUGUUCAAACAAUAUUUUUAGUUUAAAUAUAUUAACAUGAAGUAUGAUUUGUGGAUUGGAGGUGGUUAGAAAACAGCCUUUCCUAUUAUUUUAUUUUUUAAAAAUGAAUUUAGCUGAAAAUAGUGUAUUCUAGUGUGUUGUCUCGAACCAGCACUAGGCUCCAUUUUCAAGAAAACUUUGUGCAUAUGUUUAAUGUAGGAAAUGAUUUCAAAUAAAAUUUGGUGAGAAUGCCUGUUUGUUGGUUUAUGAAACCAAGUGAUCCUUGAUUUGGAGAAAUUACAAAUGAUAAUCCUAUUGAAUGCAAUCUAAACAAACUCCUUGCUCUUUAAAACGUAUGAUUGGUUUGGGACACUGGCCUAGGCUUAUUUUAUUUGUAGUUCCGUGAUCAACAUGGUUUAGCUUGUGCGCAUUGUCAAAUUGGUAGGUUCAGUGGGUUGAAUUUGAUGUGGGAGUAUUUGGCAUUAACAAGUUUGUGAUAGACGUCUGUUCCUAAAUAAAUUAAUAAACUUUUGUAGCAUUUAUUAAGAUUUGAAAUGUUACGUACAUUUAGAAACGCUGAUUAUGGUAAGUGAUGGUAGCCAGCUGCCUUGCCAUGUUUGGAGGUGUUGGUAGCUGUUUUAAAGACAAAUAGCUUUGUUACGUUUAACCUUGAACCUUUGUAUUUUAUACAGUUGUAGGACUUGAAAAUUGAUGCAAUUGUUUUUUAUUCUUCUGUGAAAAAUUAAAAAAAUAAUGAGUGAAAGUUAUUUUCUGCAACUAAAUAGGUGUGAAUGUCUUGAACUAAGCAGUGAUAAAUUUAGUGUGCUUUGCAUAUAUUGUUAGUUCAUUUUUCUUAUAUAUUGGUGAAUAAAAACCAUAGAAUAUAUAUUAUCUAUUCACAAAUUUUUUUAAUAAUUGAUGUACCAGCCGAGUUCUUGUUUUGGCAACUUGGAUUGGUUCAUAAAAUUUGUUCAACAACAGUUUAAAUAAUGUUUUCUAAAUGAUUCCAAAUUGUCUCUUAAAGAAAAAAUCUAAACUGUUUAAUUGGUUUGGUCCACACCAUUGUGCAACCAACUUUUCUGAACUCUAUGCUGUGCCCUUUGUAUUAAAAAAGACUCUUUGUGCAAUUCAUAAUUGUAUCAAUUGAAAAGCUUUCUUUUGUAAAUUGAAAGGCUGCCUUUUUUUUUUUUUAAUAUUUUUUUAAAAAAGAUGAAUUAGUAAAUAAACGAGCUAGAUUUAAGCUUAUGGGAUACCUAGUUUCGAAAGUUUUUAUUCUAAGAAAUUUUCUUGAUCACAUGUCGAGGUUGUAUUUUUUUUAUUUUUAUUAUUUUAAAUGAAUGCUAUGUUGUUACUUUAUUUUUAAAAUUUUCAGCAUGUGUAUACAGAAGCUAGUUAGAAGGUUUUACAAUUUUUAUGUAAAAAUGUUAAAAAGUUUCAAAAUGAGGUUGUAAUCUAGUAAAUACCUUAAAAACAAAAUUUGAAAAAUUGUAAAUUGGCACUUCCUCUGUCUGGCACAUUGUUUGCGCAAGGUUUUAAUUUAUGUAGUUGAUUAUUGGUUUGUUGGUAUCCCGCUAAUGCUUUCUGUUUCCAAGUGCGUGUGUUGUGUUUUGCAAGGUGUAGGCUGCGAGGAUAUAGUUUAUGAUAUUUGUAUUUGGUAAAUUUGGCCACUUGUCUUUAGCUUAUUUGCAGUGGCUUUCCUCUGCUCCAAGAUAUCCAAGGAAUCUCCGUUCUUGCCGCCCUGCCCGCGCAUUGGCGGAUAUCUAUGACUAUUGAUUGAGAUGCCUCUUUUGAAGUUACUUGCAUAUUUGUGAUGUUCAGCUAUGGAUGUGGUUGGCAGACUUGGUUUGAAACAAUAAAUGUCACUAUUGUUCUUACCUAGUUGUAUUGUUAAUUUUACAUUUGACUGUAUAAUCAAUUAAGAAUAAUUUUUUUUUGGAAUAUUGGUUUUGCUGCUGUUCCCCA